GGGACGGGGGCUCCGGUACGCGGCCGAGACGGUCGGCUUCUGUCUUCUGUGCUCCGAAUCCCCAGGCGCUAGUGCCGCUGUCCCCGGGUCGGAAUCUACUCUCCUUCCGGUCGCUCCCGGCUGCCCCCCCGGGACAGCCGCAACAGACCGGGUGCCCAAGAGGACCCCGCUUGCCUAAGGGGGUGUGGCCGAGGGGGAGGGUCCCAUCCCUGUGACGUCAGACGCAGGCCCUCAGACUCCACCUCCCCUUUGGGACGCGUAACCUCUCUAGGACUCCGGAGGACCAACCCCCCCACCUCUGUGGUCUUAACCCUUCUAUUCCCAGGGGCCAAGAUUCCGAGCCUGGGCUAAGGAUGGGAGGCGGUCCGCUGGCACCGGGUUGGCGGGAACCUGAUCCGGAGAAGGAACGUGCGUGAGAGCGAGCGCAGGCGACUGACAGAGGAACCGACAGCAGACGUGGGGAGAGUUCUCCCUAGGACCAGACCGGUACGCCUUCGUGUCUCAGGACCAGAAUUCUCUUUAGCCAAGUAGGAUAGGUGCUCACUGAGAGAAGAGUUGUUUCUGUCCGACGCCUCAUCUCUUCGGGAUCAGAAUUGCUGUCGGACAGUCUGGGUAUGGCUAAUGUUCUUUUCUAGCUGGGGGUUGCCAUUGGUAACCCGAGAGCGAGGUAGUUGAAACUCCCUAUGGGACCGUCAGAGAAAUUCUUUCUCGAGGCUGUGUUAAAGAGGUCAUGAUGUGACAUAGGAAUAGACAUACUUUUGAUAGGCUCUUGUUCCUGCAUUGGUGUGCAGUUAUUCCGACAACUUUUAUCACCUGACUCAACUUGCAGCAGUGUGGAAGCAGUAAAAGGAGGAGAGCAUCUUUUCUUGUCUUGUUUGGAAAGCAGGGGAUCUUGGGCAGUGGACCUGUACUGUACCAGAAAUUUGUUUUGAGAGGGUUGGGUUUGGGUUUUGUUUGUUGUUUUGUUUUGGUGUGUUUUGUUUUUAUUGCCAUGCCUGUGUCAUGCAGACGUUCUUGGGCCAGAGGUGGGACCUGUGCCACAACAGCGGCCAGAGCGACAGCAGGGGCAGCACCGGCUCCUUAACCUGCUGAGCCACCAGGCAGCUCCUCCAGAAAUGUGGAUGUAAGAUUAAUUAGGGGUUUCCGUUUGUAUUUCCAACACCAUUUUCCUACAUAGACGUAUCCCUACUGGGCGUGUUGCAUACGUUGUCCAUGCGUUGGGGUUAUUUUGCUUGCUCGGUGUUCAAAAAGAGAAAAGUGAAAUGGCCUGUGCCUGGUCUCUUGGAGUGCCAGCAACAGAGAAGCCGCACCAGAAGAAAGGAUUUCCAUAUUUUAAGAAGUAGUAUUACACCAGCUCCCUCUGGGAAGGGAGUCUCCUGCCUAGAACUUGUUGGCAUUAGAUUAACUGUUUUGUGAGUGGUCGUGUCAGGGAAACAGUGGUUUUACUGUUUUUAGUUGAAUAUUGGCGACAUUGCACAUUGUACUUGUCAUUGCAUGAAAUGGGUAAGUAAAACGGCAGAUCCUAGGGAUCCCUUUUCUUUAUCCGGCAUGUGGGUGCGAUGCAGGCUCAAUGCGAACGUUCGGUUUAGGCGGGGCCGACGUACAGCCUGAGAAACUGUAAUGUUUAUGAAGUGGGGGGUCGAGGUGCCAAGAGGAAAUCUGUGCUUUGUUAGAAGAUUAUGUAUGCAUCUAGGUAGUAGGUAGAGCCAAAGGACGUAUAAGGUGGUGAAUGCGAAUGAAAACAGGUGAGUCCUUUAAGAGGGAGAGAUCGGUGUGGUGAACAGUGCUGGGACCUUUGUAUUUUAACAGACCUGGGUGAACAUUGGUCGCGACCACUCCCCAGUGGUUGUGACCUUGAGUGGGAGUAGGCUUACCCUCUCUGAUCCUCAGUUACCUCAUCUGAAGAUAGGGACACUAAUAUUAUGUAUGAUUGCACCCCCGCCCUCCAGGUGGAGCUUGCCUGACCACCUGGCUUCCAGGGUUCUGGGCUGUGUCCCAGGGCCCGCCGUCUCCCACCGGCCUGGGCUCUCAUCACGCCGGCUUCCCUGUUGUCUUCAGUUCAGCUCCCUGCCCACCAGACUGUGAGCUCCUCCAGGCCCAUCUUCCUGCAUGAAACGAGCCUGUGCGCACAAAGUCUGCCAAAGCACGGAUCCCGGAGCCUGGUGCCCCACAGAUGCUCUAACACGUUGACCUCUGUCGUCCUGUGAGUGAUGAUGGCACGAGUAACACGGGGUGCACACAGAGAGCGGUGUAGCUGCUGUGCUAGGGUCAGGCCCUUUGUUGGAAACAACACAUCGGAAAGAGUGUCUAGAGCACAUCUCUCAGGUUCAUUUUCUCUUGUUCCGGGAGGUGUGGUUUCUUGUAUCCCCACCCCGUGCAGAACCCCAUGGUGCCGGUGCAACACCCACAUUGCCCUUCCUCGUUCAUAACUAUUACACCAGCCGUGUCUCUCCUGAGCACAUUUUGCCAGUGAGUGAGCAGUGAACAGCCUCUGCUCAACUUGCAGUUCCUUUGAGUGGGUGAGGGGCAUCUCGUCUGCUGUGGCCACCCUGUCCCGAGUUUCCAGUGGUCCGUCUCUUCCCUACUUUUCUUCCCUUUAUUCCGUAUCUUGGAUAAUCUUUUCCCUCUCAGGGUGGAGGUCUGCCCAAACUCGCAGCUGCAUUGGGCAGUUUGCAGAGGGCACUGAUGAACAGAAGCGCCCUGGGUGACUACUUGUUGAAUGAAAACAGCCCGGACAGCCCGGCUCCUUUGUUUCCUGGGUCAGAGGAGUGGCCAUCACUCAGGCUGCCCUCAGCCGGAUGGACAGUGCCAAUCAGUGUCUUUGGGCAGGUCCACGUGGGCGCUGUCACUCAUGGAAGGAGACUGCUGUCCCCAUCUUCCUCUCGCCUCUGUGAUUCUCCUGCUCCUUCUUCCCCCCCGCCCCCGAGCCCUCCUUUGCACUCCCACUGCUGUCUGUGUACACGUGCACCGUGCCUGAGCCCGCCCUGCCACCCACUUCAUGUGGGUGACUGUGAAUUACCUUUCCCAUUAGGCCUGUUGUCUCUUGGCUCACAGCCCAAAGCAGACUUCCUGUUCCACUGAGUCUGGAUUUCUGUUUUCCUUACCCUUCCCUUUUUCCUUUUUUUGGCGGAGCAGUAUGGCAUCUUGCUAAAGGACACUAGCUCUGAUUCUAGGCAACCUUCCUUUCAGCCCCGUUCUGCCACUUGCUGUCGUAUGGUCUUGAGAACUUUACUCGGCCCGCUGUCACCCGAAGAGGGGUUAAUCCUUCUUGAUGAGGAGGCCACCCGAAAGGGUGUUACUUGUGAAUAUGUCAUAAGCUUCAUGGAAAUGUGCUGGCACGUUCGUUCCCCGUCAUUACAACUGCGGAUGCUGCCACGGGGCGGGCUGCAGGUCGGGCCUUACCCUGCGUGAGCUCCAGCAAUGAACUUCAACGUCCCACUAGACAUCUCUGUCCAGCCCUAGAGGCUCUCUGUUUCUCUGGCCCAGUCCUCCAGCUUCUCCCCCUCGCCUGGAGGAGCCCUCAGCAGGCAGCUGGUACUUCCAUUGCGGGUCUCCCACCUGGGGACCAACAACCGACGACAGCUUCUGUCUUGUGCUUCCGUUCUGUCUGUGCCAGUUGUGUCCACGGGUGAGUUGGGGCUGCUUCCCUUUCCGAGCCAUAGGCCCAGUGUUUCUGGGAGGCCUGCGUAGAGGAACGGGGCCAGGCAUCCUUCCUCCUGGGAGACCCUAGUUCAGGUUCCUCAGUGCCUUGACCCUCAGCCUGGGUACCAAACCGCCCAGCCUUCUGCCAGACGGGGUGCUUCACCAGCAGGAGAGAGGGAGAACCUCCAACUAGAGAUGCGACAGGAAAGCGGAAGAGUGUUUCGGAGGCUCCCAGCACGGUGGUUAGGCGAAAAGUGAGACUCUCAUCCCCACCUGACAUAGACCUGAACAGAUUCAGACAGGGGUGCUGGUGUGUUGCCACAUCCUGAGCGGGCCUUCCUUUGGGGACCAAACAGCGAGCAGUAGCCAGAGGAGGUUCAAGCGCAGAGUGAGCAUUGGAAACCCUAUCAGCAUGAGACUUGAUCUGAUCCCAGGAAGGUCCUCAUCUUUCCUGCCUGGAAUUUCUGGAUCAUUCUGGGGCAUCCUAUGGCAAAGGAGAUGGAUUCCUAGUGGACCUUCGCUCCUAGAUCAGAGCUUCCGUGAUGCGUGUUAUUACUGUCACACCCUGUCUCCCGCCCUACUUCGUUGUCAGUGGGGUACCCAGUGUCCCUGUACUAUGCAUGCUUUGCUGAUGUCCAUGUGCUUCUGUGCCAUUUUAUUGGCUGCCUCCAAGAAGCAGCGCUGGGGCUGCCGGAAGGCGGAAGGCUCGUGUGCUAGGCUGAGCUCCAGCUUUGAUGGUAUGAGGCCAAUCAAACCGUGGUGAAGGGGUGUGGAGCCAGAACUGGGGGAGGGGUGGGGUGGUUCACCAUUUCACGGAAUUCUCAGUGUCAGUUCUUGCAACCCUGAGGAGCUCACCGGACGUGAAGGUCUUCCUGCUCCAUAGCAAUGACUCUUCUCCCUUGAAGGACCUUCUGACCGCUUCUGUCGUUGUUGAUAGCAAAUGAAUACACACACUAAAGGAAACUAACAUCAGAAUCCAAGUUUGUUCAUCUUGUUCUGUGCUAGGUGAAGUCUGAGGUUACUACCCUUCAAUCCCAGAGCAGCAGAUCCAAGUUUGUAAAGAGGCGCUCUCAACUGCGUAGGUUUGCAACAGUGCAGGGUGGAGGGCACAAGAGCACACCGUCUGGUCACUCUUGGUGGCUCUGCGGCCAGACCGGCCUUCACAUGGCCCAGGUGGACAGGAAGGAAAGGGGCCCUCCGGCCCAGGGAGAGUUGUAAGCAGGGUCUGCUGUCUACAGCAGCUGGUCCUGCAGCUGGCGCUGGUGGCCCUGGCGUAGGGGGCCAGGGGACAGUCCUCAGGGUCGGUGCGUGUGAAUCGCACUUUCACGGCUGCUGCAUGGGAUCCACAUUCGGCCUCAUUGAGUUGUUCAGGAGUGGUCUUGGGGGUUAGGACUUGUGCCUUUUCCUCGCAGGAGGCGUGACUGCUGAAUCCACUUUCUCCCCACACACAACGUCCAGUGAUGUGCACCCAGCAAGCGCCCGUGGGAUCCUUCUGAACGGAAGAAAUUCUGCUCUCUGUCAGCCUGUGCUGUUAGGUGUCCCCAGGAAACCCACGCGUCUUCUGCGGACAGACCUGGCUCGAGAACAGCCCACACUCUUGACCAUCACCGAGCAAGCAUACCCGCCCUUAAGGCUGGAGUGAAGUGGGAGGAGCCGGUGACUGCAGUGUACCUACCCAGCUGGCGGCACCCCAUCCGGGGUCUCUUCUGGAGAUUCACCUGCGCAUCCCCAAAGGAUGGGCUCACACUGCCGUGUCCUGACUCAUCGAGUUUAGACCUUGUCUGGUGAGUUCUAGCAAAAGACAAGGCUUUCAGCCUCAGGCGCGUUGGACCACGUGCCCAGGUUCUCCUUGGAGGUCCUGUGAGGGCCCACCCAAAACCGGGCACAGGCCCGUGCUCAGGACGCGUUCAGAGUGUGUCUACCAAGAACGAGGUUUCACAGAGGAAGGUCCCCACGUCCUGGGCAACGUCAAGAUCGAGGGUUCACCCUUGCCACAGCAGGUCCAAGGGAGUCAGGGCCCGAUGGAGAUCACACCCAGCGGCAACCCCGGGAUUUGGGUGCAAGGCACUGGGUGGAUGGCAGUGCCCAUCCAUGAGACGGGAACACAGGUUGGGGCCACCAGCAGAUGUGCAGGGCUUGUGGGAGAUCUGAGUGCAGAUGCCUCGUUGGUCCCGGCCUGUGGCAGUGGUGGGGCAGGGGCACGGGGACCUCUGGGGACCAGCUGAGAUUUCUUGGGUGCCUUGGUGGUGGGAAAAGCCAUCCGCAUGCUGCGGGGUGCACAUGUCAGAUGGGUAAAGGCUCUGGGGUGAGGGUGGGGGUGAGGGGGUCACCCAAGGAUCAUGUAUAGCAUGAGAAGAGCACAGGCCAGAGGGUGGAAACCAGCCCAAGAUUUAGGAUGGGGUCAAAGGAAAUGGACCGACAGCGAGACAAGUAAUGAUUGAGUGUGAGGGAGGAGGAAAGCCAGAAUGGGCUGCUGUCCCAGGUUCUGACAAAGGAAAGUGUUUUGAAAAAUGGACUGACAGCGGUUCUCUGGUUCGGCCGCAUGGAACUCUUGGGAGGCGUUGGCAAGGGGGUGUGCCGUGGAUGGGGGCCCAUUGGGCGGGAACCAAAUAAGGAUGAUCCUGGAGCAUCUUUCAAGAACCUUGGCUUGAAAGGAAUCAAAGACGCAGGUGAGUAGAAGCAGAAGGCUGUGUGCUGUCAGGGGCUGUCAGGGGCUGUCAGUUUCUGUCCCCCAAAUGAGAGGAAAAACACCCAGGAUGCCGCUUCUAGAAACUCCUAAGGAUCCUCAGGACAGCUGAAUAGAGAGGACAGAUGGAGAGAGUUGGGAAGAGCCUCACAGGUGUGUCUUCAGGUUGAGGUGGUGGGGAGCGGUGGCUUCAGUGCAGCAGUGGGGUUGCAGGAAGACGUCCAUCCUCUCCCUCCAGGCCCCCCUCUUGCCUCGCAGACCCUUGUUGACAGGAGGAGCCGGUGGGGAGGGGAUGCCGAGAUCACAGGCUCACUCAUGCUCCUCAGACUCCCGGGCAUCUCGGUGUAUUUAUCCUCCCUGACUGACCUGAUCCUCCUCGCGCGGGUCCACCUUCCACACCGGUUAGUAGGAAGGGGAAACCCCACUGAAUAGGUUUCUAAUCAGGUAAGCGUGGUUGGAUGCAACCAAGCGAACGGUCCACAUACACAAAUGCUCGCUCAGUCGAUUCUGGCGGAAACGCUCAGGCUCGCAUUUCCAACCCACCUCCCUUCUUUCCAAGACGGGUAAGGGGUAUGUGUGUCACUUACAAGUCUCGUGGUGAUGCGGGAAGUGGACCGAUAACAUGACACAUCGGUGUUGCUCAUGGUGGCCUGGGCGGUCCCUGAGGGAAGGAUGACCCUCCCCUCCAGGGAGCUGGUAGCCUGACCUGCACUGCCCAUGGGUGGGGCUGGUGAAACUUGCAUUUUUGUCUUUCUCCUCUUGGUGGGGACCUGGAGCUCUGAGGAGGACUCAGCCCUGCUCACUCUGCUGGCAUCUGCAGACCCAGGGCAUCCACUCCACAGCCUCAGCUGCAGGCUCACCUUCUCCAGUGCCUGCUUAGGCUUCCGUAAUAACCCCCUGGCUCUGGACUCGGGGAAUGCAGAGCCCUGGGAUCUCACCUGCACCACAGUAGGAACCAAGAUCAGCUCCAGAAAACAAAACUCCUGAACUGCAGCCAUCUCUCUGCCCAGAGACACUCUUGGGUCAUUGUACAGCAUGUUCUCCUGUGAGUCCCAAGUGAUGGAAUGCGGUGAAAUCCUCCUGCCCUUGGUGCCCCUCUUCAUUUCUUUCUUUUUUCUUUUUUGUGUGUCCUGGGGCACAUGGAGUUCCCAGGGCAGGGAUCCAAUCCCUGGAGCUGGAGUUGCAUCCUACACCGCAGCUGCAGCAACAGGUGGGUCCUUAAGCCAGUGUCCCCCCCUCCGGGGUUUCAACGUUUGAGUCCCUGCUGCUGCAAAGACACCUUCAAUCUCGUGGCGCCACAGCAGGAACUCCCUCUUCAUUUCCUGACACACCUCCCCUGUCCCAGCUGAUUGACCUCUGCCUGCACUUCCUCUGCGGGCUCUUCGCCCCGCCCCCCCGUGGUUUGGGCGGACCCUCUUUCCUUUGGCUUGUCUUUCCUUUGACCCAAGACUUCCCACACCACAUCCCAGUCAAAGGGGGCACACUGUAGGAGUGUACCUUGUUGGCAACAACAGGGGAAUGUGUUGUCAGGUAACCCCCGCCCCCCAAAUAUAAAGAGAAACAGGGUAAAGAACAGAAUGGUCAAAGGUGCCUGGGCUGUUGCCUAAAAGGGGCGCCGAAGAGUGUCUGCGGGAUCAAGAAGUGUGGAUCGGCCUUGACAAGACCAGAUUGUGUGAAGUGAUAGGGACAAAAGCUCCACCGAAGGGGGGUUGAGGAGGUAAUGGUCUCCGUAGAGGUUGAGGCACUUUUGCUUUGAAGGGCAACAGAUCAUGUGCCAGUAGCUGCAGAAAUGCGUGGUGAGGGAGGUGGGUGUCUCCUCUUUGUUGUGGAGUGCUCCGAUGUGGAGGGAGCAGGUGAUGGUUCAGGGGAGAGGAGUGAUAACUGCAAGGACAGAGUCCCUGAGGAGGUGGAAGGCACGGGACCCUGGACAGAGGUGAGGGGCUGAGUGCCGCCAGGAGCAUGUGUGCAUAAGGGCAGCAGAGGGCCAGGGUAGAAACAGGCAAUAGGAAUGAGGAAGUUUGAGAAGCCCCAUGGGAUUGCUUAUGUCUUCUCAAGAAUUAACUGGGGUCAGGGGCGGUUGGGGGUGGUUAGAAUGGAGGAGGAUUGGUAGUGAGUAAUGCAGUGGUGUAGGUAGGUGAAAGUGAAAAUGAACAGCAAUUCUCUCCUGGUCAAGGAUUUAAGAGAAAACAAUAAAACAAUUCAGUGAA
rnacentral:lncRNA from 1 species